UUUGUACACACCGCCCGUCGCUCCUACCGAUUGAAUGGUCCGGUGAAGUGUUCGGAUCGCUGCGACGCGGGCGGUUCGCCGCCCGCGACUCUGCGAGAAGUCCAUUGAACCUUAUCAUUUAGAGGAAGGAGAAGUCGUAACAAGGUUUCCGUAGGUGAACCUGCGGAAGGAUCAUUGUCGAGACCGAAAUUAUAUCGAGCGAUUCGGAGAACCUGUGAAAUAAGCGGCGGCGGCCGUCGCCGCGAAACGGCCGUCCCCGCCGUCGCUCCCCCCCGUCCGGAGGGGGGCCGCGGCGAGGGACGGGCGAAACCCCAAACCGGCGCAGAUUGGCGCCAAGGGAGCUAUCGAAAAACACGAGCCCGGCAUCGGGCCUUCGUGGGGUGGAGCGGUGCUGCGCACCGCACGCAUUGACACGACUCUCGACAAUGGAUAUCUCGGCUCUCGCAUCGAUGAAGAGCGCAGCGAAAUGCGAUACGUGGUGCGAAUUGCAGAAUCCCGCGAACCAUCGAGUCUUUGAACGCAAGUUGCGCCCGAGGCCAAUCGGUCGAGGGCACGUCCGCCUGGGCGUCAAGCGUUGCGCCGCUCCGUGCCGAGUCCCCACCAUCCCACCGCAGUGGGGGUGCCGGGCGAGGAUCGGACGUGCAGAGUGGCUCGUCGUGCCCAUCGGUGCGGCGGGCUGAAGAGCGGGUCAUCGUCUCAUUGGCCACGAACAACGAGGGGUGGAUGAAAGCUGCCGCGGGCGAGGCCCGCGUUGUGUCGUGCCGGCCCGAGAGAAGAUUGCACCCUUCGCGCGAUCCCAUCCCAUGCGCCGCCCCCCGUGCGGCGGCUUGGAAUGCGACCCCAGGAUGGCCGAGACCACCCGCCGAGUUUAAGCAUAUCAAUAAGCGGAGGAGAAGAAACUUACGAGGAUUCCCCUAGUAACGGCGAGCGAACCGGGACAUGCCCAGCAUGGGAAUCGGGCCGCCCUGCGGCGGCUCGAAUUGUAG
rnacentral:rRNA from 1 species